GAUAACAUUUCAAUCUUAAAAUAUUCUUAGAAAGGAACAGAAGUCCAGCAUCGUCAUGCAGUAUUCUGCUUCUAAUCGUAUUUUCUUGAUAGUAUUAGUUGCAUUUAAUUUUCUUUCCGAUGGAGUUUUCUGCUGCGCGCCAAAUCCUCGGCCGAAUUCCCGUCAAAUACAAAUCCCCGUCAAAUCCCCGGAGAUUAUUACGCCGAAAAAAAAUUAUAAAACAUAUUUCAAUGGACAAUAUCUUCCUAUUGGCAGUUCCGAUAGUUGUCCAAGAAACAUGGAACUCUUUGACGGACCGAACAACCAAGGAUUUUGUGACUGCCUGGACAUUGCUAAUAAUCCAGCAUUUUAUUCAGAUAAAACUGGCGAAUGUUUUUUUCACAACACUCGGGGUCCCUGUUCCGAUGGUGAAUGGUUUGUACUGAAAAAUGGUGAUCCAGUAUGCGAACCCGUUCCGGAAGGAUGUCCAGCUAACGGAAGAUACUUCUACGGAACUCCGGACGAAACGAUGGCCAAACGGUGUUUGAAAUUAUGGGAAGAAGGACCGCCUUGUCUACCUAAUAACUAUUUGCAACUUAGAGAAGGCCCAGAGUUAAAAAUAGUUUGCGAGCCUCUCCUAGAGGGUUUCGGUACUCCAUUAUCUGCUGGAAUGAUGAGUGCGUGCCGGCCGGGCACUCUACGUAAUCGCUCUGGUCAUUGUUCUGGUAGACCAUUCUAUGGUUAGAUCUUUAACUGAAACACAGAAAGACUAGCUGUUGGAUAAUCGAAUGUGAGUUAAAGCUAUUGUUGGAUCGGCAACCAGCAUAUACUAUUUCUUCCUUUGAAAUAUAGUACAUACCGGUAUUUAACUGGUGGUGUGUUGAAUAAACAAUUGAUGCCGUGGAUUUCUCUGGUCAUUUAAUUCUAAAUCACAUAACAGCCUACGCCGGAUUUUUAAAAUACAUUUCAUUACCAUCGGUCAGGCAAGAUAAGUAUUAAACAAUUAACGUUUUAUCCUUUUUUUUUUAUCCCAUCACUUCUUUCGUGACUGGAAGAGAUUUUUGUCGAAUUUUAAAUUUGGGCCCAAGAUGAUUCAGCGCCCAAACAGUGUAGGGAAAGAGAAACCGCACGACCUUGUUUUUUAACCGGCAAAUUAUAUAUCUGAAAGAAUAAAAUACAAAUGAUUUAUUUCCGUACUCUGUUGAUCUUUGCGGUAGCUCCCGUUUCCCUUACUAUACGCGGACGUCGCCCAUGUCGAGUGAGUGCAAUCGUUUCGAGGAAUGUAAAUAUUGGGAGUAUAAUAAUCAUGCAAGUGCAAUUUGAUUAAGCAAUUUCCGCACUUUUGUAUUGGUUAAAUAAAUCUAACUGAAUUUAAGUGGUUUACCACCGUUAUCUGGGUUUCGAAAUUUAUACUGAUACGGAACCCGUUCGGCAUUCUGAUAACUAUUUUCAUAUGCGGUUAUCAAGUCAUCCUGUCACGCCUUUAGACUCAGCUUCAAAAUGGGAUAAAAUGAUACGAGAUUAAGAUAGCAUUUCAAUGUUAGAAACACAAGUCAGUUAUUGCCAUGCAGUCUGAUUUUUCCAAGUGCAUUUUGUUGCUGAUUUUCUUGACAUUAACCAUGGUUGCCUUUAUUUUAAUUUUCAACGAAAUAGUUGGGGGUGUGAACAUUUCACUCAACAAAUACUCAACGCCGUGUGACUCCCACGAAACAUUUUUCGAAGAACGGUGUCUUCGCAUUGGCAGUGUCGAUAGUUGUCCAAGAAACAUGGCACUUUUUGACGGACCCAACAACCGAGGAUUUUGUGACUGCUGGGUCCUUGAUGAUAAGCCAGCAUUUUAUUCAAACGAAACUGGCGACUGUUCGUUGCACAACACUCAGGGUCCCUGCUCCCAUGGUGAAUGGUUUGUACUGAAAAAUGGUACUCCCGAAUGUCAACCCGUUCCAGAAGGAUGUCCAGCUAACGGAAGAUAUUUCUACGGAACUCCAAACGAAACGAUGGCCAAUCAGUGUUGGGAGUUAUUGACACAAGGACCUUGUCGCAAAGGUCAAGUUUUAAAAAUCAAAGAAGGCCUAGACUUAGAGAUAGUUUGCGAUUAUCGCCACGAUGAUUCCAAGAAUGCUGUAUCCGCUGGAAUGCUGGGCAAAUGCCGACCGGGUACUCUACGUGCACGUUCCGGACAUUGUUCUGGUGUAUUCCGCGUCGGUUAGAUCUACAACAACAAAAAAAGUGUUGCGUCAGCAACCAAAAUCAUUUUUAAAUUUUGUUCUUUUUAAAAUAACUAUAUAUGUAACACAAAUCAACAGAUGGUGUAAAUAAACAAUAACUGCCCCUGGCCUUUAAUUCA